UCAUGGUAGGAAAACACUAUGGAAUUAAAUAGUUACAGUUUUCCAGCUUUAUUUAAUACAUCUUCUUUAUUGUUUAGCAGAAAAAAAGCUAAAUAAGUUUGGAACAAAUAAAGAAUGAGGCUAAAAUGGCAGAAUUGUCAGUUUUGGGCUAUUUUUACAUGGAGAAUGUUUUCAGCUGUUGAAUUCACCUCAGAUCAGUGUUGCUGUAAUUCCUGAUGGAAAGAAGAAUUGGAUGAGCGAGCAACGCCACAACUACAGGACCUCUUCUUUCUCUUCU